rnacentral:rRNA from 1 species
GCACAGAGUUAGCCGUCCCUUCCUCUUCCGCUACUAUCAGCUUACGACGUAUUAGGUCGUAAGGUUUGAUCGCAAAUGACAGGGGUUUACGGGCCGAAGCCAUUCAUCCCCCACGCGGCGUCGCUCCUUCAGGGUUUCCCCCAUUGAGAAAAAUUCUCGACUGCUGCCACCCGUAGGUGUCUGGACCGUGUCUCAGUUCCAGUGUGGCUGGUCGUCCUCUCAGACCAGCUACCCGUCUUAGCCUUGGUAAGCCGUUACCUCACCAACUAGCUGAUAGGCCGCGGGCUUAUCGAGAAGCGUCAGGCCUUGCGGUCCCCGACUUUAAGUGCCAGAGGAUGCCCCCCAGCAAUCACAUCCGGUAUUAGCUCGCCUUUCAGCAAGUUAUUCCAGACUUCACGGCAAAUUACCCACGUGUUACGCACCCUUGCGCCACUCUCACCACCGAAUAUUGCUACCCGAUGAUAAUCGUUCGACUUGCAUGUCUUAUCCACGCCGCCAGCGUUCGUU